rnacentral:rRNA from 1 species
GACGAACGCUGGCGGCGUGCUUAACACAUGCAAGUCGAACGGAAAGGCCCUGCUUUUGUGGGGUGCUCGAGUGGCGAACGGGUGAGUAACACGUGAGUAACAUGCCCUUGACUUUGGGAUAACUUCAGGAAACUGGGGCUAAUACCGGAUAGGAGCUCCUGCUGCAUGGUGGGGGUUGGAAAGUUUCGGCGGUUGGGGAUGGACUCGCGGCUUAUCAGCUUGUUGGUGGGGUAGUGGCUUACCAAGGCUUUGACGGGUAGCCGGCCUGAGAGGGUGACCGGCCACAUUGGGACUGAGAUACGGCCCAGACUCCUACGGGAGGCAGCAGUGGGGAAUAUUGCACAAUGGGCGGAAGCCUGAUGCAGCAACGCCGCGUGCGGGAUGACGGCCUUCGGGUUGUAAACCGCUUUCGCCUGUGACGAAGCGUGAGUGACGGUAAUGGGUAAAGAAGCACCGGCUAACUACGUG